rnacentral:lncRNA from 1 species
GCAUAGUUAGGAAACCUCUUUCAGCCUAUAUAACAGCAUGGUGGUGCAGAAUAUGAAAGGCAUAUUUAGAGUCACUAUAAAUAUUGAUGUGUAGUCCUUUUGCAAGAGUGAGGGCUUGAGUUAAGGCAACUAGUUUGGCUUGCUGAGAGGUAGUGGAGGGGGGGCAGAGCGAUAGACUCAGUGAUAGAUGUGGAAGAUACUCUAGCAUAGCCUGCCUUUGCUGGUGAGUGGCGAUUAGGCCUGGCAGAACUGCCAUGAAUAAACUAAAUGUGAUCAGGGUGAGGAACAGGAAAGAAGGAAAUAUGGGGAAAUGGGGUGAAUGUCAGGUGGAUCAGAGAGAUACAGUCAUGAGGGUCAGGUGUGGUAUCCAGAAUAAUGUGGGAGGCCAGAUCGAAGUCCAUGCCAGGAACAAUGGUAAUUGUGGGAGACUCAACAAAGAGUAUGGCUGAAGGAGCGGGGGAGCAGAAAGUAUAUGUGUCAGGUAUGAGGAAGAAAAUAGAUUUUGGAAGUUAUGAGAAAUGUAGAGAGUGAGUUGAGCAUAGUUUGUGAUUUUUAGGGCCUCUAAAAGUAUUAAAGCAGCGGCAGCUGCUGCACGCAGACAUGAGGGCUAGGCUGAAACAGUAAGGUCAAGUUGUUUGGACAGAAACGCUACAGGGUGCGGUCCCGGCUCUUUUGUAAGAAUUCUGACCGCGCUAACCAUGCCUAGGAAGGAAAGGAGUUGUUGUUUUGUAAGGGAUUGAGGUUUGGGAGAUUAGUCGGACACAAUUGGCAGGGACAGCACGUGUGUUUUUACGAGAAUUAUGCAGAGAAAGGUAACAGGUGAGGAUGAAAUUUGAGCUUGACUGAAGUAAUGGGGGCUGUCUGUGAAGCCUUGCGGCAGUACAGCCCAGGUAAUUUGCUGAGCCUAAUGGGUGUCAGGGUCAGUCCAAGUGAAAGCGAAGAGAGGCUGGGAUGAAGGGUGCAAAGGAAUGGUAAAGAAAGCAAUGUUUGAGAUCCAGAACAGAAGAAUGGGUUGUAGAGGGAGGUAUUGAGGAUAGGAGAGUAUAUGGGUUUGGCACCACGGGGUGGAUAGGCAAAACAAUUUGGUUGAUAAGGUGCAGAUCCUGAACUAACCUGUAAGUCUUGUCUGGUUUUAGGACGGGUAAAAUGGGGGAAUUGUAAGGAGAGUUUAUAGGCUUUAAAAGGCCAUACUGUAACAGGUGAGUGAUAACAGACUUUAAUCCUUUUAAAGUGUGCUAUGGGAUGGGAUAUUGGCAUUGAGCAAGGUAAGCGUAAUUAGGUUUUAAUGGGAUGGUAAGGGGUGCAUGAUCGGUCGCUAAGGAGGGAGUAGAGGUGUCUUAUACUUGUGGGUUAAGAUGGGGAGAUACAAGGGGAGGAUAUGAAGGAGGCUUUGAAUGGGGGAAAAGGCGGCAAUGAGGUGUGGCUGUAGCCCAGGAAUAAUCAGGGAAGCAGAUAAUUUAGUUAAAGUGUCUCAGCCUAAUAAAGGAACUGGGCAGGUGGGGAUAACUAAAAAGGAGUGCUUAAAAGAGUAUUGUCUAAGUUGGCACCAGAGUUGGGGAGUUUUAAGAGGUUUAGAAGCCUGGCCAUCAAUACCCACAACAGUUACGGAGGCAAGGGAAACAGGCCCUUGAAAAGAAGGUAAUGUGGAGUGGAUAGCUUUCGUAUUGAUUAAGAAGGGGAUGGACUUACCUUCCACUGUGAGAGUUACCUGAAACUCGGCAUCCGUGAUGGUUUAGGGGGCUUCCGAGGCGAUCAGGCAGUGUCAGUCUUCAGCCGUUAAGCUGAGAAGAUCUGGGAAGGAGUCAGUCAGAGAGCCUUGGGCCAGAGUCCCAGGAGCUCUUGGAGUGGCUGCCAGUUUUAGAACCUGCCAAGGAAGGGUAUGCAGAAUUUUGCAGUGCCUUUUACAAGCUGUGCUAAAUCCAGUGUCCAUGCCACAUUCCUUUUCAUUGAUAUAAAGGCAACUCGAAGAUGGGAUACUAUUGACAAGGGGUCACAAGUACCCUCCACUCAUUUCUCUAUGCGGCCAUCCCAUGAACAGUCACUGCACAAGAACUCCAUUGGCUCUGUUGGAUGCCAUGCUAAGAACAGGAUGGACACCAAAGAGUAAAGCUCAACAGAUCCAGAUCCAAAGUAGCAAACAAGCCAGGGGUGGAGACUUCAAAUCCUAAACAGUAAUGCAAGGGUUCCACAGACAUAAAAUAUCACAAACAUAAGUCUUUAGACGCAACUUUUGAUUCUGUACCAAGAAAAUGACAUGGACAAGAAAUAAAACAUUUCAUGAUAGAGUCAGGUUUAAAGCUGCUGUUUGUGUGGAUCAGCAGAAGGAACAUUUUUAACAGGGGUAAUAGUAAAUGGGCAAAGGAAGUCCCGCAAGAAAUAAUUUUUUUUUUCUUUUGAGAUGGAGUCACCCAGGCUGGAGUGCAGUGGUGCCAUCUCAGCUCACUGUAACCUCCGUCUCCUGGAUUCAAGAGAUUCUCCUGCUGGCUGGGACUACAGGUGUGUGCCACCACACUUGGCUAAUUUUUGUAUUUUUAGUGGAGAUGGGGUUCCUCCCUGUUGGCCAAGCUGGUCUCAAACUCCUGACCUCAAGUGAUCCACCUGCCUCAGCCUCCCAAAGUGCUGGGAUUACAGGCAUGAGCCACCAUGUCCAGCCCAGCAAGAAAUAAUUCUGUCAGGAAAGAAGGAUGCUCAGAUGAGAGGCUUAUCUUAGUCUGUUUGGGCUGCUAUAACAUAACACCAUAAACUGGGUAGCUUGUAAACAACAGACAUUUAUUUCUGACUGUUCUAGACGCUGGGAAGUCCAAGAUCAAGGAAGACUUCAUGUCUGAUGAGGGCCUGCUCUCUGGCUCAUAGAUGGUGCCUUCUUGCUGCAUCUGCAUGGUAAAAGGGAUACAUAUUGAAGGCAUACCUAAUAGAAGAAACUGUUCUGAAGUCUGGGUAUUCAACAAGAAAGAAAACACAAAUUUUAUGUUCUCAUGGAGCUUAUAUUCAAAUGGAGUGUGGGGGACUUGAAUAAGAAGGCAUCUAAAGUACCUAGUGUUCGCAGAUGCUAAGAUGAGAAGUAGUGCGAGAAAAAGAGAAAGGCUCAUGAGGGAGGGUAUUCCUCAGGGUCUGGUUAGGAAAACACCCAGCAAUUUUAGGAGUAGAAUGUUACAGAGGGAAUGGGUUAACAAGGUAUAGGAGGAACACAAAGGCUGCAAAAGUGAAAAGAGAAUGCAGAGAUAAUACAGAGAUAGUAGCUUCAGAAAGUUGCUGCCACUCCCUCCCAGGGCUGGGGGUACAAAGGCAACAGGAUCAAGUUGUUAGAGCCUAGAAACUUAGUAAAGAUUCUGGUGGCACUGGGAUACAGACCACUGAGGAGGUGGAGAUGGCCCUGCCUGCCAUUGUUUGCGGCUAUGGAACUGAAGUUAAAAGUCCUGGAGCAGCUGGGUGGCUGACCAACUGGGGAUGGUAUCUCUGAGGAACACGCUAAGACUGCUGCAGAAAGUUUGGAACACAUCUGUUUACCGUAACCACCUGCUGAGCUGGCCUGACACCAGCAGGACCAGCAAGCCAACAAAAAGGAAGAAAAUGUUCUCAGAAGCUCACCUACCUCCCAGUCUGCUUCCAGCACCCUAUUGGCAGAGUUUAUUAGGGAGUCAGCAGCAUAGGGGAAAUGCUGUCUACAGAGACCCAGGACCAGCAUUACAAAGUAGAGUGUGAAAGGGAGGGUUGAGACUGAGAAACAGAGCUUCAUAACCAGUGCUGGGAGGCUACUCUUUUAUAUAGGAGGCCCUUCAAGCCUACCCCACCCUGAUUGGGAGAAUGUCUGGGUCAUUUUGCUCUGUGCAUGAAAGUGCUUCAGGAGAAUCAUUCCCCACACCGUGAACUCCUUCAUGGUGUGGGGGAUAUUAUUUAUCUUAUCACAAAAUGUGUAUUAAGUGAAUGAGUGAAAUGAUACCUUUGAUAUAAUGCUUGUAGCAUUAGUGACUUUUUCAGCUUGGGUAAUUCUGAUUGCUAGUGUGUGUAUGUGUGUGUGUGUGUGUAUGUGUGUGUGUGUGUACUUGUUCGACAUUCAAUCUGAUUUUAAUAAAUAUUAACUAGGUGCCCACUAAGUGCAGAGCUCUGCAUCAGAUGCUACAUGAGACCUAAAAGAAUUAAACCUUGUCCCUAAAGGACUUAGAAUAUCGAUUCCUGUGUGUGCCAUCUGGUGCAUAUCACUAUUUUAAAAAGGUUUUUUUUUUUAAUUUCUUGAGGUCUUUUGAAUCCUAUUCUUCUCUGUUUUUAAAGAUAUUAGCGAUGCACGUCUCCUCCUACCCCACUUUAGUCCCCAGCUUUAUCUCUUUUAUGAACAAAAUUAAAUAGAUUUCCUCCCAGAAGGAAUCCUUUGGUAGAAAUUGUAUAAAGAGAGAAAUUAACUCUUUCAGACUCCCAGGGUGCUAUUGCUAAAUGUUCUAUAAAACUCCUUCCUCAUUACUACCUGGAGAGAGACUUGGCAUCCGGAAAAUAGCAUCCAAUAUGUAUUCACUUAUUUUCCUCCUUGUUAUGUGAUGGGGGAACAUGAGUGCAACACACUGAAGAUAAAGAAGGCUAAGGGAUGCUUGUUCAUAAAUAAGAAUAAGAUAAGGGUAUAGGCUGGGGGAUUUUAGUCUCCCAACACACUUUGAAGGUUUGGCUCCUUAGAUAGCCCGAGCAUGGAUUCCUGCCUUCUGCUCCUGCAGAAGGUGAAGGGGGUGGAGGCUGCUGUGACUAGGGCUAUGACACUAACUUUGGCUGUUAAUGGUGGCCUUCCUUAGCCUAUCUCCAAGAAUACGGAUGCUAGUACAAGUCAUGUGCUGUUAACCAAGUAUUUUGCCCCUUUCCUUCUGAAGUGGCACUCUAUUAAACAGUAAUAUUUUCUUCCCUUGUUGCUUAAAAUAAAUGUUUUUAAGGCCUAUGAAUACUUUGGUCAACAUUAGUGGUUUUUCAUACUUCCUUCUCUAGGUUUUUAGGGAGAAAUGCCUACACUGUUCUUUGAAUUGCUUCGUUAUUAUUAUUCCCCAGAUUUUCUCCAUGUAUUAAAGAUCCUAAGAAUUCUAAGCUCAGACUUUUGCCUCUGUAAAUAUAUUUUUUAAAUGGCUGCAUAAUAUUACCCAUGGACAUGAUUCCUAGCCAUAGCUCUACUUUGC